GAGAGUCACUUGUGGGCAGCUUUUUGGGGAUCCAUAAAAGGCAAAGGUUCCCUUGCUGUCUGAAGUCACAGGUCUCUGAUCCCAUGAGACAUUUCAGCUUGGCCUAUAUUCAACCAUGCAGAGGCCGAAAAAACAUGGGGAGAUCUUCAUCUUAACUAGCCAAAGUUUUCAAUCCAAUUCAACAAGCAUUCAUUAAA